CCUCUGCGCUGUCCGUCGCACUUACGUUCUUCCGAUUUUGCUUUGUGAUUUUAUGUUAAUUUCACCCACUCGCAACACCCGAUGGUAGGGAAGUUCUUAUCAAGUCGAAACAUGUGAUCGAAGUCCCUGAAGUGGCUCGUGGCUCAGUGUAUGAUCGGUUCAAAGGGUCGCAACUCCGUGAGUGCCGUAGCAGCUUUAGUCCGUGCAUCUUCGCGCAUAGCCCUCAGUUUGAGUUUCAACAUGACGACUUUCGAAACGUUGAAGUUCGACAACUUGGCGUUACGGCGGUUGCCGAUCGACACAGAAAGUAGGAAUUACGUGCGCACGGUUCGCGGAGCCUGUUUUUCGCGAGUUAUGCCGACUCCCUUGAAGUCUCCGGAGAUGGUGGUGGUUUCCGAAGACGCGAUGCUGCUACUGGAUUUGGACCGCGCGCAGUUCGAAAGGUCGGACGCAGCCGAGUACUUCUCCGGAAACAAACUUCUCCCCGGUUCCGAACCGGCAGCGCACUGUUACUGCGGCCAUCAGUUCGGCUACUUCUCUGGACAGCUGGGCGAUGGUGCCGCCAUGUACUUGGGUGAAGUGAUCAACCAGAAAGGAGAACGCUGGGAGAUCCAGCUGAAAGGAGCCGGUUUGACGCCCUACUCUCGAUCCGCUGACGGCCGGAAGGUGCUCCGAAGCUCCAUACGUGAAUUCCUCUGCAGUGAGGCAAUGCACCACCUUGGCAUUCCUACUACACGAGCAGGGACGUGCAUCUCGUCGGAGACUCUGGUGUCGCGCGACAUGUUCUACGACGGACAUCCCAAGGAUGAGAAAUGUUCCGUCAUUCUUCGUAUUGCCCCUACGUUCCUCAGGUUCGGAUCCUUCGAGAUAUUUAAGACAUUGGAUCAGUUCACGGGAAGGGUGGGCCCAAGUGUCGGUCGGAAGGAUAUUCUCAUUCAGCUGCUUGACUAUUCCGUCGAAACCUUCUUUCCAAAGAUCUACCUUGAGCAUGGCAAUGAUAAGGAAAAGAUGUACAUCGAGUUCUUCAAAGAAGUGAUUAAGAGCACUGCAUCUCUUGUUGCUAAAUGGCAAUGUGUGGGAUUUUGUCAUGGUGUAUUGAACACCGACAACAUGAGCAUCCUGGGCUUGACACUCGAUUACGGUCCUUUUGGUUUUAUGGAUCGGUUUAAUCCCGAUCACAUCUGCAACACAUCAGAUGAUGGGGGAAGGUAUACCUACAUAAAGCAGCCAGAAAUUUGCCUUUGGAAUUUGAGAAAAUUUGCGGAAGCAAUACAGGGGGCUGUACCACUUUCAAAGACACUUCCGCUGUUGGAUGCAUAUUCUCUGGAGUAUGAAACCUGUUUUCUGGCAGAAAUAAGGAACAAGUUUGGACUCUUUCAGAAAGACCCAGCAGAAGACAAAGUGCUCAUCACAUCCUUUUAUGACGCGAUGGAGGCUACAGGAGCGGACUUCACACGGUCAUUUCGAUGCCUGAGCACCCUGUGCGUGCCUGGCCACGACCAGCAUGAAUCCAGCAAGGAUGCCCUGAAGGCAGCCUUACUGUCCUGCUGCAGCACACACAGCGACCUGAUGACUCACUUCAGGACACUCUCUAGCACAAGGGACUUCCAGUUGUUCCUCAUACUGUCCCAGUCCAACCCUGAGCUCCUCGAACAAUUGGGAAAAGGGGUUCUCGCAAAGGAGAGAAUCAUGGCACAGAUUGAAAAGGGAAAAGAACUGAAGGAUAUGACGGCAGAGGAGAUGGAGAAGAAGAAUGCCCAGGUGUGGACAGAAUGGAUAGAGAAGUACUCGAGAAGACUCGCUGCUGAGGCUAAAGACCACAGUGACUUGCAGGGGUUGCAAGAGCAGAGGGUGCAGUUGAUGAACAGCCAUAACCCGAGUACCUUUCCGAUGUGUACAAAUCCACAGCCCAGCGUGCGAUCUUCACAGCCCUGCACGCACGGGCUCGCAUCUUAGGAAAGCGAGGAAAACGUGGGCCCUACGCACAAACUCCGAAGAUGGCGCCUGCAGGAAGCUCCUUAAGGGAACGAUUUGUACUGAGGAACCAUGUUGCGCAACGAGCCAUUGACAUGGCUGAAAAAGGGGACUACUCUGAAGUGCACAAAGUGCUCAAGAUACUGCAGCAUCC
rnacentral:misc_RNA from 1 species